UUUUCCGGUUGUACCUGCCGGACCCGACUGCUAUCGGAUUGGGACUAAGCCAUGCGAGUCAACUCCGCAAGGGGUGGCGCACGGCUCAGUAACACGUAGUCAACCUACCCUAGGGACGGGGAUAACCUCGGGAAACUGAGGCUAAACCCUGAUAGGCUAUAGCCUCUGGAAUGAGCUAUAGCUGAAAUCUAUAUGGCCCUAGGAUGGGACUGCGGCCGAUCAGGUAGUUGGUGGGGUAAUGGCCCACCAAGCCUAUAACCGGUGCGGGCUCUGAGAGGAGGAGCCCGGAGAUGGGCACUGAGACAAGGGCCCAGGUCCUAUGGGGCGCAGCAGGCGCGAAACCUCCGCAAUGGGCGAAAGCCCGACGGGGUUAGUCCGAGUGGCCCCUGCUGAAGGGGCCUUUUGCCAGCUGUAAAAAGGCUGGCGAAUAAGGGGUGGGCAAGUUUGGUGUCAGCCGCCGCGGUAAUACCAGCACCCCGAGUGGUCGGGACGAUUAUUGGGCCUAAAGCAUCCGUAGCCGGCUUAGCAAGUCCUCCGUUAAAUCCAACGGCUUAACCGUUGGGCUGCGGAGGAUACUGCUAAGCUAGGGGGCGGGAGAGGCGAGGGGUAUUCCCAGGGUAGGGGUAAAAUCCGUUGAUCCUGGGAGGACCACCAGUGGCGAAGGCGCCUCGCUAGAACGCGCCCGACGGUGAGGGAUGAAAGCUGGGGGAGCGAA
rnacentral:rRNA from 1 species